GUGGGAAUCUUGCGCAAUGGGCGAAAGCCUGACGCAGCCAUGCCGCGUGAAUGAUGAAGGUCGUAGGAUUGUAAAAUUCUUUCACCGGGGACGAUAAUGACGGUACCCGGAGAAGAAGCUCCGGCUAACUUCGUGCCAGCAGCCGCCGUAAUACGAAGGGGGCUAGCGUUGCUCGGAAUUACUGGGCGUAAAGGGCGCGUAGGCGGACAGCUUAGUCAGAGGUGAAAGCCCAGGGCUCAACCUUGGAAUGGCCUUUGAUACUGGCUGUCUUGAGUUUGGGAGAGGUGAGUGUCACUCCCACUGUAGAGGUGAAAGUCGUAGAUAUUCUGACGAACACCCGUGGCGAAGGCGACUCACUGGCCCGAUACUGACGCUGAGGCGCGAAAGCGUGGGGAGCAAACAGGAUUAGAUACCCCAGUAGUCC
rnacentral:rRNA from 1 species